CUUCACCAGGCUCCCGACGGGAGUGGGUGUGUGAGAGAGGAGGGGUGUGGAAACAGCGAGGGCUGGCGGCGUGUGAUGAGGCACACCUGAACGGAAUGGAGCCUCAUCACCGCCGAUGUUUAAAGCGGUCUUUUCCCCGUGCAUGCACACUGGUGUCCUUGUGGGUCCAGGAAGGGAGCGUGGAGGGACUUCCGUGCCGCCAGAGACGUGAGCUGCCGGACCCGCGGUCCGGACGAAACCGCACCCGUGUUACGGUCGUCGGGCCAGGAUGCCGGGCCGACCAAGUCCCGCCGAACGCCGAGGGCCAAGAGGAAGUGCCGCCGCUAUGAUGAAGCCGCUGCCACUCGCGCCCCGGACCCGAGUGGGAGCGUGUGUGGCCGCCGGACUCCGCCCCUUACCUGGACCCUCCCUUCCAGGACACUGCCCUCCUUCACAAGCCCCGCAGCACGACAAGGACACCAGACCCCUUGUUUAUUUUGGACACUUUAUCCCCUUUGGACACUUUAUUUUAUUAUUUCUGUUUAAUAAAAGCCUCUCCGAGGCCUGACGCCAGACCCACUGUGUCUGUCGUUUGCUCCUCCCGCCACAAUAUAUAAUAUAUAUUAUAUAUAAGUUUAAUAGUUUCAUCUAAUAUUUUAAUUUGAUUUUAUUUAAGCUUUAUUUCAGUCAGUGAAAACUAUUUUAAUUAUUUCAUUUUUAGUUAACAAUAACAACACUGAUUUGAAAAUACCUGGCUUAGGAGAUUUAAGUAUGUUGUCAUUUAUGUUUAUCUGCAUUGUCUACAGUGUUUCUCCUCAAAUUCCUAAAUAUAAUCACCUAUCAAAUAAUUGUUGACAUACAAUAAGAGUAUUGAUCUGUAACGCUAAACAUGAAACAGCAUUCCAUAUUUGAAUCCCCCCAUAUUAGUUUUGUUAUCUGAAAUAUUAAUAGUAAAUAGGGUCAAUUUUGUUCUAAUGUAAACUAGCAGAUUAGAUCGUUUGGUCUUGAAGAAUUUGAUAAGAAAUGUUGCAUUUCUUAUUGAAAUUGUUUUGAUAUCACGUUGUGAUGUCCUGACAAAUCUGAGCAUUGAUUUGAGAUCUCUUCUGAAACUUUAGAGGAGAUACACAAGAUUACAGGGCCUUUUUCUUAAAAGCACGAUAAAAGCAUUUGCUCUCCGUUUAAUCACAUUUGUCAUGAGAGCUCUCAUUUGUGUUCUUUCUUUCCUUCGUGUUUCAUCUAGUAUCUCAGGUAACAAUUACAGUGUAUUUUUAUGAGGCUUUUAUUCGUUUUAAUUAACAGAUGAAUCUGUCGAGAGAAAGGUGAUAUGACACCGUGACAGAUGUUAUUUUCACCUCCUCUUUAUUCUGUGCUUAAAGCUAUUUAAGUGUGAUUAUGAUUUGUUAUGAUCAUAAAUGUUGUCGCUAAAAUGAACAUGCUCUCAAAUAGUUUUAAUGAUUCUUUUUCAAUGUUAAAGAAUCAAAAAAUAACACAGUUACAAUUCAAAAACACUGUUUUAUUAACUUGAAAUACCCUCUCUUUUUUAGCAAUGUCAAUAUUAAUCAGGAACAUAUCUUUGUUCUGUUGGCUGCUUUCCACUCAUUAGAAGCACUGGGGAUAUUAAACAAAAAUAAAUAACUGCUAACUAUAAACCCAAGAUUAAAACCGAAAGACAAGCACUCAAACUUGUGAUAGACAUUGCUGUAGAGUUCUAUAUGCUACUGACAGGAGGCGGGAGCGGGAGCGGGAGAGAUCGAGUCAAAUUGGUUUAUUCCGACCCAUGGUCCUCGGCACUCGGCUGAUUUCAGACGACGCCUGUCACCUGCCUCCAUUUCUGCUUUUAUAAACUGUGCACCGGCCCUUCGGAAAAGGUCAGCUUUUUAUUUCCAGAGACAAACGGCGUUGGGAGGGAAGAGGUGGCGACAAACGUUACAAUGGAGGCUGGAAAUUGCACCUGGUUUACCUUGGGAGCUCGGUGCGCCAUCUGGAUGUUUUGCUUAAGAUCUCCUCUCUUUUUGACUAAAAGAGGAAGUGGACGACUGACGGUCGCCCGCGAAGUUGUCAGUGCGAACUUCAUAGCUCGAGUGGAUUUUUUUUUUUUCCCCCCGCCCCCUUCUCUCUCUCGAGUCCUGUUUUACUCUUGACAUUUGUAGAUGCCAGAUUGGGCUGUAAUAUACUGUUGCUUCUAUUGCCCGCCAGCAUAUGCCGAAAUACCACCUGAUAUCUCGAGUGCUCGCUGUAGCUGGAGAUUGGCACAACCCAGCAUGCACUGUAUUCAGGCUCAUUUCCAUUUCACACCAGCAGGAGAGAAUUCUGGGAUGGGGCCCCCUGAGAGUAUUUGGAAGUGACACAGCCAUUUCUGCACUUCCAGCUCUGUGACAGAGUUAAAGCGGAGAGAUGGAUAGCCUCCCAUAGCUGCAUGCUGGCCUGCUGUGAAGAGAGAGAGAGAGAGAGAGAGAAAGCUAGCACAACUCUAUUGAAGGACCCUUCACACACUUAACAAACCUAAUUAUUGGUAUUUGCUAAAGAUAUCUAGAGUGCAUGAUGAUCAAUGUCAUUUUAUACAUUGACUUGGCAAAUGAGAUGUACACAAAUGUUUUUUUUUUCUUUGUAACUAAAUCUUGAAAAAAGAAAAUUUGUACAGUUACUAGACAAAAUGGCAUUUUUCUUUUAAUUGCUACAAUUGAUGCAGAUAACCUCAAAAUGAUCAAUAUGGGCCGAUAGCAUAUAUCGAUCUGUUACCAUGAGUGAUAUGGCAUGAUUUUUUUGUUUUUAAAAUAUGAAAACCAGUGUUAUUGUAGUUAAAUAAAACUAAAAGCAUGAAAAAAGUACCGGUACUUAAUAAAAUAAACUUUAUAAUAAAACUUUUGCUAUUUUAAUUUAGUUUAACUUGAAGUACUAAAAUAACUCAAAUUAAAAGUGAAAUAAAAAUGAAUAAAGACUGUAUAAAAAUAAACAUAUAAACAUAAUAUAAAAAUAAACUAUAUUAACAUAUAAAAUAAAUAAAAACUACUAAAAUGACAAAAACACAACAAAAUUACUAAAACUUUAACUAAAAUUAAAAGGAAAAUAGAAAAUGUGUAUAUUCAAAAGAUUAUUAAAAACUAUAGUAUCUCAGUGAUACUAAGAUGUUGAAACUGUUGAAAACAGAUAAUUUACACGGUCACUAGGCAGAAUUACAAAUGUCUUCUAUUUAGCACAGAUGAUGCUGAUAAUCUGAUAACUGUCAAAUAUCGGCCGAUAUAUUGGUCUAUUGCCAUAUGUGAUAUGCCGCAUGAUUUUUAUAAAUUUAUUUUUAAUAAAAUGGGUGAAAAACAUAAGACUUAAGAUGGGAUCUGGCCUGUAUCUAGAGACAAAGUGUUCUUUUAUUUUAUUCACGCCUGUAAACAACCACCGACUAUAGCAACACUUAGAAACCACUCAGAGCUCUCUAUCAACCAUGUACAGUAAUAAUGCUCAAGAAACAAAAAAUCUAGAUCAGGCUUCAUAAUAUCUGCUUUCUUUGAGACACAAUGCUGUUUAAUAGCGUUCUGUGUACUCAUGGUUUAGCUAAAGUGGCUGUUGACGAGAUGUUUUUGACCGAGAACUACCUCAUGAUUGCUUUGUAAAAUCUAUCAUUAUUGUCCUCACGCCCCCUGUUUAAUCACAGAUCAUUGACGAAGCUUCUCUCGUUCUCCCCUCAGGGAAAACAUUGCGAAGAAGUGUUUGUAAUGCAGAGGAGCCGUCUGCGGUGACGGGGGACAGACCGUCCCCAUCUCGCACCUACCUCCCGCUUAACUAACAUGUGUCUUUCGUCGUACCUGUCUCAUCAGCCGUGAUUAUGCUGUGCCUCCGUGCAGUUGGCGCGCAUUAGGGGAGGGGAUGAGAAAAUAAACAACUAAGGUGCUUUUCGACUCCGGAAUAAGCAUUGGAAAAGUGGGACUGUCAAAGCAGUCACUACGAUCUGAGAGGUGUUGACUAAUUGCCUGCUAAUUACACAGUAAAUUGUCUAAUUAAGCUGAUGGUUAAUUAGGGUAAGCUUGCACAGCAAGUCUUGUGGAAGUCGCUCUCUCUCUUUCUCUUUCUCUUUUUUUUUUUAUUAUUAACAGAGAGAAAGCGAGAGAGUGUGUGGCUUGCCCGGGAACCUGGCUGUGUAAUUGGCGCACUGGCAGUGACUGGCGGUUAACAUGACACGGAGAGGCGAUAGAAGUAAAGACUGACAGAAUCGGGGGUUUGCGGCAAACAGCGCCACUUGUCAUUUGUGCAGGGGCCCGAGCCGCGGCCCCCCUCGUGUUGCCAGCGAUGCUGUGACAGCCAACAGCAUUGCACUCAACCAGACUUCUCAAAACCAGUUUCUUCUCCUUUUUCUCACCUUACAGAAUCCUAGGCCUGCUGCUUUUACUCCAGCUUUUGUGGUUUAUAGUGGGAGCCAAAAUCUGAGGGUUUUUUUAAGAUAUUAUAUAUAUAUAUAUAUAAAAUUCAAUUUGGAAACCAAUUUUAAGUUAUAAAGUGAAGACAAAAAUAUGUGUUUCAGAUGUUAGCACUAAUUCUAGGUCACUAUCAAAGCAAACUUGUGACAUUGGCCUUGGCAUUGACAAACCAUGUAUUAGGACAUUCUGUAAUUCAUUUACAUGUUUUUUUUCAUUAAAGUUUCCAUUCUUAUUAUUACAGCAUUAUUUACUUUUGUAUCGAUUUUAUAUAUAUAUACCA